rnacentral:rRNA from 1 species
GAUGAACGCUAGCGGCAGGCCUAACACAUGCAAGUCGAGGGAGGAGCCUUCGGGCUUCGACCGGCGUACGGGUGCGUAACGCGUAUACAAUCUGCCUUUCACAUAGGGAUAGCCCGAAGAAAUUUGGAUUAAUACCUAAUGGUAUAUAGAUGUGGCAUCACCUUUAUAUUAAAGCUGAGGCGGUGAAAGAUGAGUAUGCGUUCCAUUAGCUAGUUGGAGAGGUAACGGCUCCCCAAGGCGACGAUAGAUAGGGGUUCCGAGAGGGAUAUCCCCCACACUGGUACUGAGAUACGGACCAGACUCCUACGGGAGGCAGCAGUGAGGAAUAUUGGACAAUGGUCGGAAGACUGAUCCAGCCAUGCCGCGUGCAGGAAGACGGCCUUAUGGGUUGUAAACUGCUUUUGCAGGGGAAGAAUAAGGACUACGCGUAGUUUGAUGACGGUACUCUGCGAAUAAGCAUCGGCUAACUCCGUG